rnacentral:rRNA from 1 species
GACGAACGCUGGCGGCGUGCUUAACACAUGCAAGUCGAACGGAAAGGCCCUGCUUUUGUGGGGUGCUCGAGUGGCGAACGGGUGAGUAACACGUGAGUAACCUGCCCUUGACUUUGGGAUAACUUCAGGAAACUGGGGCUAAUACCGGAUAGGAGCUCCUGCUGCAUGGUGGGGGUUGGAAAGUUUCGGCGGUUGGGGAUGGACUCGCGGCUUAUCAGCUUGUUGGUGGGGUAGUGGCUUACCAAGGCUUUGACGGGUAGCCGGCCUGAGAGGGUGACCGGCCACAUUGGGACUGAGAUACGGCCCAGACUCCUACGGGAGGCAGAAGUGGGGAAUAUUGCACAAUGGGCGGAAGCCUGAUGCAGCAACGCCGCGUGCGGGAUGACGGCCUUAGGGUUGUAAACCGCUUUCGCCUGGGACGAAGCGUGAGUGACGGUAAUGGGUAAAGAAGCACCGGCUAACUACGUG